rnacentral:lncRNA from 1 species
CUUUGUCCUCUGCAUUAUGGGGACCCUUCCCACAGUUUUCCACAGGAGAAUGGCAUCAUCAGAGUUUCCUUGUGUGUAGACCACUUUAGCAGGGUGUGGUGUGUGGACAGAAGGAGCGGCCUGUGGGCAGCCAGGUGGACGGGAAAGGCAGGUGGAGAUGUGUCUGCUUCUCCCUUCAGCUCUCCGCAAAACAGGCCUGACUUGUCCUCGCACUCUGCUCCCAGGGCUAAGGACGUCUCCCCGAGUGGGCACAGCCAAAAGACUCAUAAAGUGGUUGGAGGAUGGAGUUUUAGUGACCCAGCAAAGGAGCCAAGUCCCAACCAAAGCCUUGGGGGAGGACACUGAGAAAGGGGGGCAUUCCAGAAACAGGGGGUGGAAGUCAAGGCCUUGGUUAUUGGUAGAAGCAGGAUUUGAGAGCAAAGAGAAGAACGAGAUGCCCCCAGAAUCCCAGACUGGGGACUACAGGGUGAGGUUCAGAUGCGGCCCCUCGGGAAGGUCCUAGCUCUGGCCCACUAGCUGCCACUGUCCUCUCAGCUGUGGCCUCCACACACACGGUUCCCUCUAGACCAGAAGCUCUUCCUCGCCUUUAGCAGUUACCCCUUCCUUAGCCUUGACCUGGCUCUACCUCACUUCCCUGGAAGCCCUUCCUGUAGCCGGCUAGGAAAGUCCAGCUCCCCGGGGUCAGGUGCCAACAGACUGGCUCCUCCCCUCUGGCCAUGGGAGCCACAAGUGCAGUUAGUGGAUAAUGUUGCCUCUCCCUCUAGGCGUCAUCUCUAGGAGGCCAAGAUGUGUCCCUGGCCACCCAUGUCUCAGUAACAGGCAUCACGCCUGACACAUGAGAGCCAUUCAGUAAACAUUUAUUGAGUAAAUAAUUAAAUGGGUGAAUAAAUGCCUGCACAUAUAGACAGACGCCCGAGCAGAAGCUGCAGAGGGACAUCCCC